AUUGAACGCUGGCGGCAGGCCUAACACAUGCAAGUCGAGCGGAUGAAGGGAGCUUGCUCCUGGAUUCAGCGUCGGACGGGUGAGUAAUGCCUAGGAAUCUGCCUGGUAGUGGGGGAUAACGUCCGGAAACGGGCGCUAAUACCGCAUACGUCCUGAGGGAGAAAGUGGGGGAUCUUCGGACCUCACGCUAUCAGAUGAGCCUAGGUCGGAUUAGCUAGUUGGUGGGGUAAAGGCCUACCAAGGCGACGAUCCGUAACUGGUCUGAGAGGAUGAUCAGUCACAUUGGAACUGAGACACGGUCCAGACUCCUACGGGAGGCAGCAGUGGGGAAUAUUGGACAAUGGGCGAAAGCCUGAUCCAGCCAUGCCGCGUGUGUGAAGAAGGUCUUCGGAUUGUAAAGCACUUUAAGUUGGGAGGAAGGGCAGUAAGUUAAUACCUUGCUGUUUUGACGUUACCAACAGAAUAAGCACCGGCUAACUUCGUG
rnacentral:rRNA from 1 species